rnacentral:misc_RNA from 1 species
GGUGGUUGAAGCAAAGACCCUUUUAGGUGAUCUCACGAAAGUGAAGUCCGGGGACUGUGUUGUUGCCUUUUCAAGAAGAGAGAUAUUUGAAGUAAAAUUGGCGAUUGAGAAGCAUUCUAAUCACCGUUGUUGUGUAAUUUAUGGUGCCUUACCACCAGAGACACGACGACAGCAAGCUACCUUAUUUAACGAUCCAAACAAUGAGUUUGAUGUCUUGGUUGCCAGUGACGCAGUCGGAAUGGGUUUAAACCUAAACAUCCGGAG